GAUGAACGCUGGCGGCGUGCCUAAUACAUGCAAGUCGAGCGAACGGACGAGAAGCUUGCUUCUCUGAUGUUAGCGGCGGACGGGUGAGUAACACGUGGAUAACCUACCUAUAAGACUGGGAUAACUUCGGGAAACCGGAGCUAAUACCGGAUAAUAUUUUGAACCGCAUGGUUCAAAAGUGAAAGACGGUCUUGCUGUCACUUAUAGAUGGAUCCGCGCUGCAUUAGCUAGUUGGUAAGGUAACGGCUUACCAAGGCAACGAUGCAUAGCCGACCUGAGAGGGUGAUCGGCCACACUGGACCUGAGACACGGUCCAGACUCCGACGGGAGGCAGCAGUAGGGAAUCUUCCGCAAGGGGCGAAAGCCUGACGGAGCAACGCCGCGUGAGUGAUGAAGGUCUUCGGAUCGUAAAACUCUGUUAUUAGGGAAGAACAUAUGUGUAAGUAACUGUGCACAUCUUGACGGUACCGAAUCAGAAAGCCACGGCUAACUACGU
rnacentral:rRNA from 1 species